AAUGGGGGAACCCUGAUGCAGCGACGCCGCGCUGAGUGAUGAAGUAUUUCNGUAUGUAAAACUCUAUCAGCAGGGGAAGAUAAUGACGGUACCUGACUAAGAAGCACCGGCUAAAUACNUGCCAGCAGCCNCGGUAAUACNUAGGGUGCAAGCGUUAUCCNGAAUUAUUGGGCGUAAAGGGCUCNUAGACNGUUCNUCNCGUCCGGUGUGAAAGUCCAUCNCUUAACGGUGGAUCUGCNCCGGGUACGGGCGGGCUGGAGUGCGGUAGGGGAGACUGGAAUUCCCGGUGUAACGGUGGAAUGUGUANAUAUCGGGAAGAACACCAAUGGCGAAGGCAGGUCUCUGGGCCGUUACUGACGCUGAGGAGCGAAAGCGUGGGGAGCGAACAGGAUUAGAUACCCUGGUAGUCCAAGGGCGAAUUC
rnacentral:rRNA from 1 species